UACAGAGGGGGCAAGCGUUGUUCGGAAUUACUGGGCGUAAAGGGCGCGUAGGCGGCCUGUUAAGUCGAACGUGAAAUCCCCGGGCUCAACCCGGGAACUGCGUCCGAUACUGGCAGGCUUGAGUCCGAUAGAGGUGGGUGGAAUUCCUAGUGUAGAGGUGAAAUUCGUAGAUAUUAGGAAGAACACCGGUGGCGAAGGCGGCCCACUGGAUCGGUACUGACGCUGAGGUGCGAAAGCGUGGGGAGCAAACAGG
rnacentral:rRNA from 1 species